UACGGGGGGGGCAAGCGUUGUUCGGAAUUACUGGGCGUAAAGGGCUCGUAGGCGGCCAACUAAGUCAUACGUGAAAUCCCGGGGCUCAACCCCGGGCGUGCAGUGGAUACGGGCUGGCUGGAGGCAGGCAGGGGAGAACGGAAUUCCUGGUGUAGCGGUGAAAUGCGUAGAGAUGUGGAGGAACACCGAUGGCGAAGGCAGCCCCCUGGGUCAACACUGACGCUCAUGCACGAAAGCGUGGGGAGCAAACAGG
rnacentral:rRNA from 1 species